rnacentral:rRNA from 1 species
UACGGAGGGAGCUAGCGUUGUUCGGAAUUACUGGGCGUAAAGCGCACGUAGGCGGCUUUGUAAGUUAGAGGUGAAAGCCCGGGGCUCAACUCCGGAACUGCCUUUAAGACUGCAUCGCUUGAAUCCGGGAGAGGUGAGUGGAAUUCCGAGUGAUAGAGGUGAAAGUUCGUAGAUAUUCGGAAGAACACCAGUGGCGAAGGCGGACUCACUGGACCGGUAUUGACGCUGAGGUGCGAAAGCGUGGGGAGCAAACAGG